rnacentral:rRNA from 1 species
ACGGCGGACUGUGAGUACGCGUGGGAACGUGCCCUUCACUGCGGAAUAGCCUUGGGAAACCGAGGGUAAUACCGCAUACGCCCUUCGGGGGAAAGUUUUUCGGUGAAGGAUCGGCCCGCGUUGGAUUAGGUAGUUGGUGGGGUAAAAGCCUACCAAGCCGACGAUCCAUAGCUGGUUUGAGAGGAUGAUCAGCCACACUGGGACUGAGACACGGCCCAGACUCCUACGGGAGGCAGCAGUGGGGAAUCUUAGACAAUGGGGGAAACCCUGAUCUAGCCAUGCCGCGUGAGCGAAGAAGGCCUUAGGGUUGUAAAGCUCUUUCGCCGGGGAAGAUAAUGACGGUACCCGGUAAAGAAGCCCCGGCUAACUCCGUGCCAGCAGCCGCGGUAAUACGGAGGGGGCUAGCGUUGUUCGGAAUUACUGGGCGUAAAGCGCACGUAGGCGGAUCGGAAAGUUGGGGGUGAAAUCCCGGGGCUCAACCCCGGAACUGCCUUCAAAACUAUCGGUCUGGAGUUCGAGAGAGGUGAGUGGAAUUCCGAGUGUAGAGGUGAAAUUCGUAGAUAUUCGGAGGAACACCAGUGGCGAAGGCGACUCACUGGCUCGAUACUGACGCUGAAGUGCGAAAGCGUGG